GGCGCCGCCGGCUUCCCCCUCCCUAACGCCACCACCUCUUCCUCCUCCUUCCCUUCCCCACCUGCGGCUGCCACCUUACCUUCUGCUAGCCCUCAAAUCUCGCCUCCGCCGCCGACUCCGGCCGCGAAUCGGGCCUCGGAUCGGCGCAGGCGCGCCAAUUGAUGUCCGAUCUGUGACGAGGGACAGCCCCCACCACCUCCUUCUCCGCGUCCGCGCCAGGUGCCGCCGCCCCUCCUCCGUCCAGGUGACGCCACCUCUCCUCCGUCCAGGCGCCGCCGCUCCGCCUCCCUGUUUCCGACGCGAUCUGCAACGACGCCUUCACCUCGGCCACCACUCAAUUCUGCAUCCACCACGGUGUAUCUUUGGGGGGGGCGAGAGCCUUUGCCGCUCCCUCACUCUCUGUGUCACGUAUCUCCUCGGUUGCUGAUUCCCCGCUCGUUUGUCGCCAUUGCCGCACCUUGUGCACUGUGAAGGUUCAGAAGAGCUACUAUCUGGUGAGCCUUGUUGACAACGACUACAUCCACGGGGAUCUGUUUGCCGUCUUCAAGGAGCUCUGAUCACCAAGAUCCAAUCCAUGCUAUUCUCUUCGCCAAACUUUGUUGGCCCAGGAGUCCUGAUCUGCUAGGUUUGCUUCAGUCCAUACGCUGGCACCGUCGUCUACAGCAUCGUGCUCCCCGCCUCGAGCUAGGCACUACAACCUGUGUGCAAGAAAAGGAAAACACAGAGCAUUUGGUUUCUGUACAUAGGAAGAUAUUAUUUGGUGGACUCAGGGUAUGCCAAAGAGCGUGGGUAUUUGGGACCGCAUCACCACAACAGGUACUGGAAGAAGGAGUUCAAAUAUAGGGGUCAUGAGCAUUUGCAAUAGUUGUUCAACUACCAUCAUUCGAAACUGUGUAAUGUGGUUGAAAGGACAUUUGGGGUCGCCAAAAAUAAGUGGCAAAUGUUGAAAGGUAUGCCAAACUAUCCUACGGAGAAGCAAUGUGGAAUUAUUAUGUCAUGUUUUGCACUGCAUAACUUUGUACGGGAUGAGAAUGCACGGUCAUCGACAGUCGGUCCGAUGCUGGUACGUCCACUAAGUGAGUAUUCCAAUCAGUGGGUUGAGUCAAAUGCGGAAGAUGACAUGGCAACUCUCCGUGAUUGGAUUACUACUGGACUUGGAGUAAUGGGGUUCGGGCUCAGAUGAUCUGCAGUGGAACCUGGAAUGAAGGAGAAGCACAGGACAAUGUUUAUUUUGGUCCCUACGGUUUCAUGAAGGUGCAUGUGCCUGUAUGUUGGCUUAUUUUGGUACGGAGGGGUUCAUGAAGUU